rnacentral:rRNA from 1 species
ACGGGAGGCAGCAGUGGGGAAUAUUGCGCAAUGGGCGGAAGCCUGACGCAGCGACGCCGCGUGGGGGAUGACGGCCUUCGGGUUGCAAACCUCUUUCGCCAGGGACGAAGCUUUUGUGACGGUACCUGGAGAAGAAGCACCGGCCAACUACGUGCCAGCAGCCGCGGUAACACGUAGGGUGCGAGCGUUGUCCGGAAUUAUUGGGCGUAAAGAGCUCGUAGGCGGUGUGUCGCGUCGGCCGUGAAAACUUGGGGCUUAACUCUGAGCGUGCGGUCGAUACGGGCAUCACUUGAGUUCGGCAGGGGAGACUGGAAUUCCUGGUGUAGCGGUGAAAUGCGCAGAUAUCAGGAGGAACACCGGUGGCGAAGGCGGGUCUCUGGGCCGAUACUGACGCUGAGGAGCGAAAGCGUGGGGAGCGAACAGGAUUAGAUACCCUGGUAGUCCACGCCGUAAACGUUGGGCGCUAGGUGUGGGGACCAUUCCACGGUUUCUGUGCCGCAGCUAACGCAUUAAGCGCCCCGCCUGGGGAGUACGGCCGCAAGGCUAAAACUCAAAGGAAUUGAC